GUGGCCUAUUGCGACGGUUUUGGCCGCGCAGAAAUUAAGGGGGUAGCAAUAGGUAAUUGAUAUAUUACUACGGUUUUAAACCGCAGCAAUAUGGUUAUUAUAUAUUAGAUUUAUAAAGCAUAUUGAUGCGGUUUAAAAACCGCAGCAAUAUACUAUAUUUAAUAAUAAAAAAUAGGCAUAUUGCUGCGGGUUUUUUCAAAAAAACGCGGCAAUAGGUAGCUGGUACCGGUAAAAAAUUUUUUUUUUUUUUUUUUUUUUUUUUACAUUUUGCCAUCAAAUUUGAAAGACAAAAAUGUUAAAUGAAAAUAGAACACUACUUAUUGAAACUAAUAACAAAAAAUUAUUAUACAAAAGCAGAAUAUAAAAAAAUAUAAAUUGAAAUAUAUUAUUACAAUAUAUUUAAGGCAGAAUAUAAAUAACCAAAAUUAUAGUACCAAAAAAAACAGCAAAAAUAUUUAAAGGCAAAUUAUAAAAAACCAAAAUCAUAUAACUCAUGAUUAGUAAUUUCGUACACAAAUAAUUACAAAAAUAUUUAACAACAAUAAAAAAAGUAAAACAUUUAUAUGUGGCUGGCCACACCUAUAACUAAUGGUGUGGCCAACUAAUAUAAAAGCCCGAUUCGCAUACUGAUAUAACAGAGCCAGUCCGUUUGGAUUUCAUUUGAGAAAUCUGAAGGAGCCCAAUGCAAGAAAUGAGAAAAUUGAGCCCAUUUCUCUCUCUCCUUUUGUUCUCUUCCAGUUGAGCCCAUUUCUCUAUGUUUUCUUCUUCUUCUUUUUUCUGGCAUUUCGUAUGUAACCUCCAUUUCUAAACAAUCAUCAUCAAGGGUUUGGUUUUCAUUUUCGUUCUUGAGUAUUAUGCUGUUCGAAUUAUUUGCGGAAUUAUGGCUAGAGUAAAGACUACAUCUCGUCGUCGUCCGAGUGAUGGUGGUCGCAGUGAUGGUGGUCGCAGCGUUUGUGGUCCUAGUGAUGGUGGUCGUGGUUCAAAAGGUCACAAACUACCCGACACUACUGUUUUAUCCAGCAGCGGAUAAAUCAAAUCCAAUUGCAUUGCCUGCAAAGUCCAAUUUGAAGGAUUUCGGAGCGUUCAUCAAGAAAAAUGUUAAAGCUGAAGAACAUGCAAAUAAAGAUGAAUUGUAGAAUGCAGAAUCCUUCUUUCGUUAAAUUGUAUACUAGUGUUUACAUUGCCAAAUAUCUUAACUUCAUCAAAAUCACUAGUAUAAGAAGAGGUUUAGAAAACAUUUGUGUAGAUUCCAAGAAGAUUAACUUUAUGAAAACAGUUUUGUAAUAGAAACCACAGUAAUUUUAGACUGAUUUUUUAAGAGGGAAAAAGAUGUUGGUUCGUGAUCCAAUGGAAAAUGGUCCAUCUUUCCUUACAUUUGUAAGUGUGAACUACUCA